UACGGAGGGUGCGAGCGUUGUCCGGAAUUAUUGGGCGUAAAGAGCUCGUAGGCGGCUUGUCACGUCGGAUGUGAAAGCCCGAGGCUUAACCUCGGGUCUGCAUUCGAUACGGGCUAGCUAGAGUGUGGUAGGGGAGAUCGGAAUUCCUGGUGUAGCGGUGAAAUGCGCAGAUAUCAGGAGGAACACCGGUGGCGAAGGCGGAUCUCUGGGCCAUUACUGACGCUGAGGAGCGAAAGCGUGGGGAGCGAACAGG
rnacentral:rRNA from 1 species